rnacentral:rRNA from 1 species
GACGAACGCUGGCGGCGUGCUUAACACAUGCAAGUCGAACGGAGUUUCUCGGAUCAAGGCUUCGGCCAAGUGAAUUGAAACUUAGUGGCGGACUGGUGAGUAACGCGUGAGGAACCUGCCUUUCAGAGGGGGACAACAGUUGGAAACGACUGCUAAUACCGCAUGACGCAUGGACACGGCAUCGUGACCAUGCCAAAGAUUUAUCGCUGAAAGAUGGCCUCGCGUCUGAUUAGAUAAGUUGGUGAGGUAAACGGCUCACCAAGUCGACGAUCAGUAGCCGGACUGAGAGGUUGAACGGCCACAUUGGGACUGAGACACGGCCCAGACUCCUACGGGAGGCAGCAUGGGGAAUAUUGCAC